UACGGCGGAGGCAAGCGUUAUCCGGAAUUAUUGGGCGUAAAGCGUCCGUAGGUGGCUCUUCAAGUCUGCUGUCAAAGAGUGGGGCUUAACCCUGCAAAGGCAGUGGAAACUGAAAGGCUAGAGAGCCGUAGGGGUAGAGGGAAUUCCCGGUGUAGCAGUGAAAUGCGUAGAGAUGCGGAGGAACACCGAUGGCGAAGGCAGCCCCCUGGGCCGACAUUGACGCUCAGGCACGAAAGCGUGGGGAGCAAACAGG
rnacentral:rRNA from 1 species